UCUGGGAUAAGCGCUGGAAACGGCGUCUAAUACUGGAUAUGUGACGUGACCGCAUGGUCUGCGUCUGGAAAGAAUUUCGGUUGGGGAUGGGCUCGCGGCCUAUCAGCUUGUUGGUGAGGUAAUGGCUCACCAAGGCGUCGACGGGUAGCCGGCCUGAGAGGGUGACCGGCCACACUGGGACUGAGACACGGCCCAGACUCCUACGGGAGGCAGCAGUGGGGAAUAUUGCACAAUGGGCGCAAGCCUGAUGCAGCAACGCCGCGUGAGGGAUGACGGCCUUCGGGUUGUAAACCUCUUUUAGCAGGGAAGAAGCGAAAGUGACGGUACCUGCAGAAAAAGCGCCGGCUAACUACGUGCCAGCAGCCGCGGUAAUACGUAGGGCGCAAGCGUUAUCCGGAAUUAUUGGGCGUAAAGAGCUCGUAGGCGGUUUGUCGCGUCUGCUGUGAAAUCCCGAGGCUCAACCUCGGGCCUGCAGUGGGUACGGGCAGACUAGAGUGCGGUAGGGGAGAUUGGAAUUCCUGGUGUAGCGGUGGAAUGCGCAGAUAUCAGGAGGAACACCGAUGGCGAAGGCAGAUCUCUGGGCCGUAACUGACGCUGAGGAGCGAAAGGGUGGGGAGCAAACAGGCUUAGAUACCCUGGUAGUCCACCCCGUAAACGUUGGGAACUAGUUGUGGGGUCCAUUCCACGGAUUCCGUGACGCAGCUAACGCAUUAAGUUCCCCGCCUGGGGAGUACGGCCGCAAGGCUAAAACUCAAGGAAUUGACGGGGACCCGCACAAGCGG
rnacentral:rRNA from 1 species